rnacentral:tRNA from 7 species
GGAAGUGUGGCAGAACGGUAAUGCAGCGGCUUGCUAAGCCGCCGUCGCGGCCUCCGCGACUGAGGGUUCGAUCCCCUCCACUUCCG